rnacentral:tRNA from 1 species
GGCGGCAUGGCCGAGUGGUGAGGCACCGGACUGCAAAUCCGUUAACCCCGGUUCGAUUCCGGGUGCCGCCU